CUGUAAAGUGGGGAUAAUAGCAGGAUUUAUCAUAGGGUUCUUGUGCUGCUUAAAUGGCACAUAGUUGGUGAUUAAUAUAUUAUUUUGUUAAUAAUUAGAUACAUUAUGAUACCAGUCAUAAUUAAAAAUGCAGAAUACCAAAAUUAAAAGAAGUUUAAUUCUGGGUUGUAGAGUUCUUGUUUCUGUCUUUAUGCUUUUUUUAGUGCUUUCUCAUUUUCUCUAAUAAUAAAAUUAAUACUGAAAACAGCCACAUAUUCAUAGAGUGUGCCUAUUUCUGUUAAUUUUUUUUUUUUUUCUGAGACUGAGUCUCACUCUGUUGCCCAGGCUGGAGUGCAGUGGCGUGAUCUUGGCUCACUGCAACCUCCGCCUCGCAGGUUCAAGCAAUUCUCCUGCCUCAGCCCCCUCAGUAGCUGGGAUUACAGUGUUGCACUUUUCUACAAUUUUGGAAAAUCUUGGAAAUCAGAUCCAGGGAUUAUUAAAGCAACAGA
rnacentral:sRNA from 1 species